AUUGAACGCUGGCGGCAGGCCUAACACAUGCAAGUCGAGCGGAUGAAGGGAGCUUGCUCCUGGAUUCAGCGGCGGACGGGUGAGUAAUGCCUAGGAAUCUGCCUGGUAGUGGGGGAUAACAUCCGGAAACGGGCGCUAAUACCGCAUACGUCCUGAGGGAGAAAGUGGGGGAUCUUCGGACCUCACGCUAUCAGAUGAGCCUAGGUCGGAUUAGCUAGUUGGUGGGGUAAAGGCCUACCAAGGCGACGAUCCGUAACUGGUCUGAGAGGAUGAUCAGUCACACUGGAACUGAGACACGGUCCAGACUCCUACGGGAGGCAGCAAUGGGGAAUAUUGGACAAUGGGCGAAAGCCUGAUCCAGCCAUGCCGCGUGUGUGAAGAAGGUCUUCGGAUUGUAAAGCACUUUAAGUUGGGAGGAAGGGCAGUAAGUUAAUACCUUGCUGUUUUGACGUUACCAACAGAAUAAGCACCGGCUAACUUCGUG
rnacentral:rRNA from 1 species